GAAUUUUAGGAUAGAUUUUUCUAUUUGUGCAAAAAACAUCAUUGGAAUUUUUACCUCCUUGAGUUCUCCGCCACCAACUUCCAUAACCAUCAGGAUAUUCUGCAACUUCUGCAAGAGUAACAAUUUUACCUUACACUGUAUUUGUCUCAUGUGGUUUAAAACAUCCAGAAAUCAUUGAUAAACUGACCCUGCCCAAACUAAAGCAUGGUGAGUUAUAAAAGAUGGUCGCUGUUAAGUGGGGAGGGAUUGCAGGUUGAACUUAAUUUUAUAAGUGGUCAAUUUAUUACAAUAUAUUGUUCUAUUAUCUAUUUCACUUCUUUUUUAAAAAAAGUGGUAUUUGAGAGCACUUAGAUAAUAAAAAGUUGAGAAGAUAACGAACUGAUAUACUCUGUAAGCUUGAAAUGUUUUCAAGCAUAAGAUACAAUAAGAACUAAACUAAGAAAUGGCAGAGGAAAUAGAGAUAAGAGGAUGAAAUUGCAAAACUGAAUCUAUAAUAAUAUCUCAAUGGCUAGCGCUGUGGUGCCAAGAAGGUGGUGAAGUCAAAGAAUUCGUAAAGAUGAUAAUAGACUGCAAAGAAAAAAGACUGAAAUUUUUGUAGAGAGAAUUUUUACAGCGAUAUUACAGAUAGAGAACAGGGAAGAGAAGUUGGAGUGAGAGACUAUCUUCUUAAAUUACUUCCACUGUAGAGAACAAAAAACCAAUUUGCUGAAAUCUUUAUUCCCUUCUAUGACCCUGUGGAAGAUCAAGAUUUGGCCACCCUGAAAUCUAUCUCUUUACCUUGGUUGUUUUCUCUGAGGGCAUUUGACCUCCCCCACUAACUGCCUAAAGAAUUUAAAACAAAACAUCUGUUUCAGGAAGGAGUUAUUAUCAUGAUGGCUGUAAAUAUAAUGUACAAUAGAUGUUACAAUAGAAAAGACACCAACAAGCCCAUCUUAUCAGAAGUUCUGUCUCUGACCAUAUUCUUUGGAUGGCCCUGCAAGGAGUUGCCAGACAGACAUUUACAUUUAUAAGGGAAAUCUCCAUUUGUAAAGGGCAAAUAAGCUCAUCUGAAACCUCAGCUGCCCAGCCUGUGAAAUAAGGCUGGCCAUCCAUUCUCACAGAGGAGCCAACUGGAGGUAGGAUUUUUGCUUCUGACUUCAGCUAAACAUCUUCAAAGAAUUUUAUCUGCCCUUCCUUAUCCAGGGCUAUCAGUGAAGGGCUGGCUGGCUUUUAGAGAAGACCAAUUCACAGUCAGCUGAGACAUUUUUUGUUGGGCUCUCUAGAGAAGGCUGUGGGGUUUGUCAGUAAGAGUUUAUAUCUAUAUGGGUUAUAUAUUUUUAUUUUAUUCAGAGAUUUAUGAAGAAAUUUACAUGGUAAGUAUUACUUAUUAUCAAGAAAAAUGGUUGUGUAUUCUCUGGUCAUUUAAGCAAAAUCCUCCUUUCAGGGUCCACCCAUAGACAAAGCCCAGAUUUAAUCUCUGUGGGAGAUCAAGAUUUGGCCACCCUGAAAUCUGUCUCUUUACCUUGGUUGUUUUCUCUAGGGACAUUUGACCUCCCCCACUAACUGCCUAAAGAAUUUGACAUGGUGGCUCCUUCCUAGAACAGAUCUAUCAUGACUGCUAUAAAGAUAAUGCAGGAUAGAGGUUACAAUAGAAAACGCACCAACAAGCCCAUCUUAUCGGGAGUUCUGUCUCUCUGGCCACAUUCUUUGGAUGGCCCUGCAAGGAGUUGCCAAACAAUCAUUUACAAGGGAAGUCUCCAUUUGUAAAGGUAUCUCCCUCUCUGUAUUGGGAAGAGAGGGGGAUGAGCUCAUUUCUAGUGACUUAUCAAUGUGGAAGGUGAGGCCUUGAGCUACAUAAUAAACCUUACUCUUGUUUACUGUGCUUUAGUGGUAAUUUCCUGUAACUGACUCCCCCCACCCCCAAAAUCCUCCUUUGUCAUUGGCUGAAAAUUGUAUUUAAGACGAGAAUUUCUGCUAUUGUGUUGAGAAACGCAGUGUCCCUGCUUUCUCCCAUGUAUACAUGUUAUUAAACUUGGUAUUAUUUUCU